UGUAUUUGAUACAUAAUGGAGCCUUAAUUUGAUAAUUAAAACUCAAUAUACUUUUAAAUUUUAAUUUUUGCUUUUAAUGCGAUGUGACAGCGUGAGAAAAGUUAAAUUAGGAAGGGCCGGAAAAAGUUAUAGAUAAUACAAGAUUAUGCAAAAGACAAUGAAAUUCCACAAAGGAACUACAGAUAAUAAUUUUACAAGAAAUAAUGCAAACUACAGAUAACAACUAAUUAAUUAAUAUUAGAUAUACUACAAUUAUUCUACAAUUAGGUACUACUAUAAAAAA
rnacentral:misc_RNA from 1 species